GUAGGGGGCAAGCGUUGUCCGGAAUUAUUGGGCGUAAAGCGCGCGCAGGCGGUUCAUUAAGUCUGGUGUUUAAGGCUAGGGCUCAACCCUGGUUCGCACUGGAAACUGUUGAACUUGAGUGCAGAAGAGGAAAGUGGAAUUCCACGUGUAGCGGUGAAAUGCGUAGAGAUGUGGAGGAACACCAGUGGCGAAGGCGACUUUCUGGGCUGUAACUGACGCUGAGGCGCGAAAGCGUGGGGAGCAGACAGGAUUAGAUACCCUGGUAGUCCACGCCGUAAACGAUGAAUGCUAGGUGUUAGGGGUUUCAAUACCCUUGGUGCCGAAGUUAACACAUUAAGCAUUCCGCCUGGGGAGUACGGUCGCAAGACUG
rnacentral:rRNA from 1 species